CCAGUUGGCUGGAUGGCCGCUCCGCAAGCGGGUCAACGUGUUGCGUAACGCGCCUUGCGGGGAGGAAAGUCCGGGCUCCAUGGAAGCACGGUGCCGGAUAACGUCCGGCGGGGGUGACCCCAGGGAAAGUGCCACAGAAAGCAAACCGCCGUUCUGCUGAGCGGUAAGGGUGAAAGGGUGCGGUAAGAGCGCACCGCGUCCGCGGCAACGCGGGCGGCAUGGCAAACCCCACCGGGAGCAAGACCGAAUAGGGAUGACACCGGGCUAUCGCCCAGGGCCCGCUUUCAGGCCCGAUCAUCCGGGUUGGUUGCAUGAGGCGCGCCGCAAGGUGCGUCCCAGAUGAAUGGUCAUCCAUCGCGUUGGUCCUCGGACCGGCGCGGGGACAGAACCCGGCUUACAGGCGAACUGGCGCU
rnacentral:RNase_P_RNA from 1 species